UACGAAGGGGGCUAGCGUUGCUCGGAAUCACUGGGCGUAAAGGGUGCGUAGGCGGGUCUUUAAGUCAGGGGUGAAAUCCUGGAGCUCAACUCCAGAACUGCCUUUGAUACUGAAGAUCUUGAGUUCGGGAGAGGUGAGUGGAACUGCGAGUGUAGAGGUGAAAUUCGUAGAUAUUAGGAAGAACACCAGUGGCGAAGGCGGCUCACUGGCCCGGUACUGACGCUGAGGCGCGAAAGCGUGGGGAGCGAACAGG
rnacentral:rRNA from 1 species